rnacentral:rRNA from 1 species
CAGCCGCCGCGGGAAUACGUAGGUGGCAAGCGUUGUCCGGAACUAUUGGGCGUAAAGCGCGCGCAGGCGGUUUCUUAAGUCUGAUGUGAAAGCCCCCGGCUUAACCGGGGAGGGUCAUUGGAAACUGGGAGACUUAGAGUGCAGAAGAGGAGAGUGGAAUUCCAUGUGUAGCGGUGAAAUGCGUAGAUAUAUGGAGGAACACCAGUGGCGAAGGCGACUCUCUGGUCUGUAACUGACGCUGAGGCGCGAAAGCGUGGGGAGCAAACAGGAUUAGAGACCCGUGUAGUCCCUGUCUCUUAUA